rnacentral:rRNA from 1 species
GAUGAACGCUGGCGGCGUGCCUAAUACAUGCAAGUCGAGCGAACAGACGAGGAGCUUGCUCCUCUGACGUUAGCGGCGGACGGGUGAGUAACACGUGGAUAACCUACCUAUAAGACUGGGAUAACUUCGGGAAACCGGAGCUAAUACCGGAUAACAUGUUGAACCGCAUGGUUCAACAGUGAAAGACGGUCUUGCUGUCACCUAUAGAUGGAUCCGCGCCGCAUUAGCUAGUUGGUAAGGUAACGGCUUACCAAGGCAACGAUGCGUAGCCGACCUGAGAGGGUGAUCGGCCACACUGGAACUGAGACACGGUCCAGACUCCUACGGGAGGCAGCAGUAGGGAAUCUUCCGCAAAGGGCGAAAGCCUGACGGAGCAACGCCGCGUGAGUGAAGAAGGUCUUCGGAUCGUAAAACUCUGCUAUUAGGGAAGAACAAAUGUGUAAGUAACUAUGCACGUCUUGACGGUACCUAAUCAGAAAGCCACGGCUAACUACGUG